rnacentral:rRNA from 1 species
GAUCAUGGCUCAGAUUGAACGCUGGCGGCAUGCCUUACACAUGCAAGUCGAACGGCAGCAUGGAGAGCUUGCUCUCUGAUGGCGAGUGGCGAACGGGUGAGUAAUACAUCGGAACGUGUCCGUUUGUGGGGGACAACCGUCCGAAAGGAUGGCUAAUACCGCAUAAGACCUGAGGGUGAAAGCCGGGGGAACCGCAAGGCCCGGCGCAGACGGAGCGGCCGAUGAUUGAUUAG